rnacentral:rRNA from 1 species
CCUACGGGUGGCAGCAGUGGGGAAUAUUGCACAAUGGGGGGAACCCUGAUGCAGCGACGCCGCGUGAGUGAAGAAGUAUUUCGGUAUGUAAAGCUCUAUCAGCAGGGAAGAAAAUGACGGUACCUGACUAAGAAGCCCCGGCUAACUACGUGCCAGCAGCCGCGGUAAUACGUAGGGGGCAAGCGUUAUCCGGAUUUACUGGGUGUAAAGGGAGCGUAGACGGUUAUGCAAGUCUGAAGUGAAAGCCCAAGGCUCAACCAUGGGACUGCUUUGGAAACUGUAAAACUGGAGUGCAGGAGAGGAGAAUGGAAUUCCUAGUGUAGCGGUGAAAUGCGUAGAGAUUAGGAAGAACACCAGUGGCGAAGGCGAUUCUCUGGACUGUAACUGACGCUGAGGCUCGAAAGCGUGGGGAGCAAACAGGAUUAGAUACCCGUGUAGUC